AGCCAAGUCUCUGCAGGAGUUUGCGGCAGUCCUUCAGAACCUGGAGGACGAGAGGACACGCAUGAUAGAGAACGCCAGCGACGUGCUGAUUAUGCCUCUGGAGCGCUUCAGGAAAGAACAGAUCAGUGCAGCAAAGGAAGCGAGGAAGAAGUACGACAAAGAGACGGAGAAGUAUUGUGCCGUCCUGGAGAAACACCUGAGCCUGUCAGCGAGGAAGAAGGAGUCCCAUUUACACGAGGUGGGA